ensembl:lncRNA
AACUUUCUCCAGCUGUAGGCAGAAGAGAUGGAGAAGAAGAAAUUCGAGAAAUUCUAAGCGUGAGGAAGAUAAGACCUGUCUUUCUUGGCCCUAAGAUGUGGAGUUCUGUUUGAAAGGACUGGGAAGAGGCCUUUAGGAAUUAAGUGUGGCCCCCAGUUGACAGCGCGGCAAGAAAAUCGUGACUACCUUCCUACAACCAAUUGGAUUUGGCUGAGAACCUGAAUGAGUUUAGAAGCAAUUCAUCCCCAUACCAGCGGAAAGGAACGUAGGUCUGUGACAUCUUGAGCUCAGCCUUCUGAAAGUUUAAGCAUAGGACUCAGCAACUUGAACCUGGGUUUUUGCUUCUGUGUAGAGCAGAAAGAGCAUCAGUGGGUCUUUCAGUUUAAUGUUUCAGCAAGAAACUCUGGAGAGCAUGGAUGGCUACAUUUCUUGGUCUUCUUGGGAUUUAUCCAGAAUUAGUUCUGUCUUGGACUGCUUGAUAGAGCCCACUGUUUCUAUGGAACCUAUCCCAGGAGAUACAUGGUCAUUUGUGGAUGUUCUAGUUCACCAGCACAAUGUAGUCAGAAGAAAUAUUACCAGACCACAGAGGAAUCUGAGUUUUGCCGUAAACUUUGUUACAGGACAAGUGCCACUUAAUGCCUCUGAGACUCAGUUUCUCAUCUAAUAAAUUAACAGGCUUCUUUAUGUGACACUUUCUGAUAAUAAAAUUCCAUCAUUCACCCUCACUACCUGUCUCAAAUGAAAUCAGAGGUAUCCCUGAGUAGGGUAAUAAGGGUCAGUUUCUUGGCUGUCUCAUGAUGAGCACCCUUUAAAGUUAGCUAUGCAGUUCAUUCCAAUAAUCUCAUCAAUCAUGUAUUAUUCAGUUAGUAGAAUGGAAGACCACACCAUGCAACAACCUCAGGGAUCUGUAGGUGUAAAUUUUAGGGAGAUGUUUUCUUGUCUUCUGGAAUAAAAUGGUGUGAUGUAGCAGAAGAAACAAGCAGAGGCCUUGGAGAAGUUGCCUUAACUCUCUAAACCCAGUUUCCCACCUGCAGUAAAUUGGAUACACACAUAGCUAUAUCAUAGGGUGCUCUAAGGACUGAAUAAUAUAUUGUGUUCAGAGUUUGGUGCACAACAGAACUCAAUUUGCUUAUUCUCUUGUCUAUUUCCUAACACUUUCCAUCCAAAUAUUUUCUUUUAAAUUAGUAGGGACUUGGAAGAAAUAGUCUGGGACUCAAAAGUUGGAAGAUGAGAGUAGGAUGUUCUGAAGAAAUGUGAGACUUUCACAGACAUGAUCAGGAGUUGCAAUAUUUCUCCUCAUGGUCAGUAAUUAUAUUUAUAGAUACUAUUUGUUGUGUUUGGAAAAAGCAUUCUGAUCCUACAGUAUCUUCCUCAUACCAUCAUGCCCCGACUGUCUCCCUCUUCCCAAAAAAGAAAAUGUCUCCAGGUGUUCUCAGGAUUUUGCCAGAUAAUGAGACAGUAAAAUGGAGAGAGCAGGGGUGGGAAAAUAGGAUAAUAGCAAAGUUUUGUCAUCGUUCCGUUAAAUGACGUAAUAUUCUACGCCUGUUAAAAAUGGAGAUUAUAAAUGCUGAUACAAAUGCUUGUCCAAGAUACAUUUUCAAAGCAAAAUUUUGCAAAAUGCUUUUAUAUGCACUGAAAAUUUAUGCAACAAUCCUACAUAAUAAAUUGUUAGCAGAAAUAAACUCCGUAUAGUGAUAAUGUAGUAGAGAGAAAGAGGCUGAGGAGUGAAACAUUCGCUUUUGCUUUUCUAUCCCUGUAGAUGUAUGUUAGAAUUCUAGUAGUAUCACUUUGACAAUUGCAACAAAGUAGAGGAAAUUUUAUCAAAAAAGAGAAUCUCUCUUAAUCUUGUUCUUUGUUUUUUUCGGGGGAAUUACAACAAAGUAGAGGAAAUUUUAUCAAGAAAGAGAAUUUCUCUUAAUCUUGUUCUUUGUUUUUUUCGGGGGAGAUGUGCUUCUGAAGUGGUUGAAGGUAGAAUGUCAACUUGGCCCCUGAU